ACCCCAGCAGUCCCCGUUGAGUCCACCGAUCCCACUGGAAUUAUAGAGUUGUCAGCAAGAAAGCCCCAGGGCUGAAGUCCAAGUCCGUCGGGAACAUGCCAGCUAACGAGGACGCUCCCCAGCCAGGGGAACAUGGCAGUGCCUGUGAGAACACCUAUUGGAGUCUGCAAAAGAUGUGGUUUGGAGAGCUUCAGGGUUGGUGAACAUGGAGGUGCUGGGUGGGUGGCAUGCCUGGAGAGGACGUAGAAGCUCUGUGCCCCUUCCCACAUACCUUGCCCUAUGUAUGUGGAUAGGGGUACUAGGAACAUCUGCUGUUCUAACAUUUGGUCUUUGACCCUGGUUCUUGACACAGAGCUCCUAAUCCCAUGCAGUUUCCUGGGUGAUAGGAGCAUCUUUUGUUCUAAUCAGGCUGUCUAUCUAGCUGUUCAUCUGUUUCUUUUGUAAUAUUCUUUAUAAUAAACCAAUAAAUGUAAAU
rnacentral:sRNA from 1 species